GGCAGAUGCUGGCAUUUACUUAUACAAACUGAGAAAUGACUGAGUAAAUAUGAAGGACAUCAAUCAGCUGAGAAAGGAUGAGCUGCUGUGUUGAGGGGGAAGUGUUGGUGGGAAGUUAAAUCCGUCUCCAUGUUGAUGCUGCACACAGAGACACGUAGGUGGCUACUGCAGAUUGACUGGAAUCGUGAGAGAUGGAGGAAGAGUAGGAGAGAACGAGAUCAGCAGCAAAUCCAGGAUAAGGCAGAAUGCCAAUCCUAGACAGAAUGAGAAGACAUCAAGGCAGCAGAGAUAACAGAACCUCUACA